rnacentral:rRNA from 1 species
CCUACGGGAGGCAGCAGUGGGGAAUAUUGCACAAUGGGGGAAACCCUGAUGCAGCGACGCCGCGUGAGUGAAGAAGUAUUUCGGUAUGUAAAGCUCUAUCAGCAGGAACGAGACAAGACGGUACCUGACUAAGAAGCCCCGGCUAACUACGUGCCAGCAGCCGCGGUAAUACGUAGGGGGCAAGCGUUAUCCGGAUUUACUGGGUGUAAAGGGGGCGCAGACGGCGAUGCAAGCCAGGAGUGAAAGCCCGGGGCCCAACCCCGGGACUGCUCUUGGAACUGCAUGGCUAGAGUGCAGGAGGGGCAGGCGGAAUUCCUGGUGUAGCGGUGAAAUGCGUAGAUAUCAGGAGGAACACCGGUGGCGAAGGCGGCCUGCUGGACUGCAACUGACGUUGAGGCCCGAAAGCGUGGGGAGCAAACAGGAUUAGAUACCCUAGUAGUC